GACGAACGCUGGCGGCGUGCCUAAUACAUGCAAGUCGAGCGAAUAUCAGAGGAGCUUGCUCCUCUGAUAUUAGCGGCGGAUGGGUGAGUAACACGUGGGCAACCUGCCCUGCAGUUGGGGAUAACUCCGGGAAACCGGGGCUAAUACCGAAUAAUCAGUUCCUUCGCAUGAAGGAACUCUGAAAGACGGCUAUGCUGUCACUGCAGGAUGGGCCCGCGGCGCAUUAGCUAGUUGGUGAGGUAACGGCUUACCAAGGCGACGAUGCGUAGCCGACCUGAGAGGGUGAUCGGCCACACUGGGACUGAGACACGGCCCAGACUCCUACGGGAGGCAGCAGUAGGGAAUCUUCCACAAUGGACGAAAGUCUGAUGGAGCAACGCCGCGUGAGCGAAGAAGGUUUUCGGAUCGUAAAGCUCUGUUGUGAGGGAAGAACAAGUACAGGAGUAACUGCCUGUACCUUGACGGUACCUCAUUAGAAAGCCACGGCUAACUACGUGC
rnacentral:rRNA from 1 species